rnacentral:rRNA from 1 species
AUUGAACGCUGGCGGCAGGCUUAACACAUGCAAGUCGAGCGGGGAAGGGUAGCUUGCUACCUGACCUAGCGGCGGACGGGUGAGUAAUGCUUAGGAAUCUGCCUAUUAGUGGGGGACAACAUUCCGAAAGGAAUGCUAAUACCGCAUACGCCCUACGGGGGAAAGCAGGGGAUCUUCGGACCUUGCGCUAAUAGAUGAGCCUAAGUCAGAUUAGCUAGUUGGUGGGGUAAAGGCCUACCAAGGCGACGAUCUGUAGCGGGUCUGAGAGGAUGAUCCGCCACACUGGGACUGAGACACGGCCCAGACUCCUACGGGAGGCAGCAGUGGGGAAUAUUGGACAAUGGGCGAAAGCCUGAUCCAGCCAUGCCGCGUGUGUGAAGAAGGCCUUUUGGUUGUAAAGCACUUUAAGCGAGGAGGAGGCUACUUAGAUUAAUACUCCAGGAUAGUGGACGUUACUCGCAGAAUAAGCACCGGCUAACUCUGUGCCAGCAGCCGCAGUAAAAC